UAUCUCUGUAGAGUCUGCAUAUCAAUAAGCGGAGGAAAAGAAACUAACUAGGAUUCCCUUAGUAACGGCGAGUGAAGCGGGAAGAGCUCAAAUUUGAAAUCUUCAAGGUUUUACCUUGACGAAUUGUAGUUUAAAGAAGUGUUUUCUGUUGGUGUUUUGGUAAAAGUUCUUUGGAAUAGGACAUCAUAGAGGGUGAGAAUCCCGUAUUUGACCAUUACUUCCAGCGUUGUGAUACACUUUCAAAGAGUCGGAUUGUUUGGGAAUGCAGUCCAAAAUGGGUGGUAAAUUUCAUCUAAAGCUAAAUAUUGGCGAGAGACCGAUAGCGAACAAGUACCGUGAGGGAAAGAUGAAAAGAACUUUGAAAAGAGAGUUAAACAGUACGUGAAAUUGUCAAAAGGGAAGCGUUUGACACCAGUGUUGUUUUCUCGAAAAUCAAUUAAAAAAGGCAGGAUUUUGUGUUGUAUUGACUUUAUCAGCUUUCUGCACUCUUUCCUUGUCCUUUUUUUAAUGCACUUUUCGUUUAACAAGUCAACAUCAAUUUCUUUUGUUGUAAAAGGGUCAUUGGAAGGUGGCUUUCUUUUCGGAGAAAGUGUUUAUAGCCUUUGGCCUCUGCAAUCGGAGAGAUUGAGGUCUGCAGCGUAGAUCCUUCGGGGUUAGAUACAUUUGUGCUAAGUUAUAGCCUUUCAUAGACAACUUGUUGACUAUGAUCAGUCAUGUAGCUUACUCGCUUAUGCUAUUUUACCUACGCUUAGGAUGUUGAAGAUGUAGCACAUCAU
rnacentral:rRNA from 1 species